rnacentral:rRNA from 1 species
CCUACGGGUGGCAGCAGUGAGGAAUAUUGGUCAAUGGACGAGAGCCUGAACCAGCCAAGUAGCGUGAAGGAUGACUGCCCUAUGGGUUGUAAACUUCUUUUAUAUGGGAAUAAAAUGUUCCACGUGUGGGAUUUUGUAUGUACCAUAUGAAUAAGGAUCGGCUAACUCCGUGCCAGCAGCCGCGGUAAUACGGAGGAUGCGAGCGUUAUCCGGAUUUAUUGGGUUUAAAGGGAGCGUAGGUGGAUUGUUAAGUCAGUUGUGAAAGUUUGCGGCUCAACCGGAAAAUUGCAGUUGAAACUGGCAGUCUUGAGUACAGUAGAGGUGAGCGGAAUGCGUGGUGUAGCGGUGAAAUGCUUAGAUAUCACGAAGAACUCCGAUUGCGAAGGCAGCUCACUGGACUGCAACUGACACUGAGGCUCGAAAGUGUGGGUAUCAAACAGGAUUAGAUACCCGAGUAGUC